CAAAGACAGGUAAGGGAUUUG
rnacentral:miRNA from 1 species